UGACACUUCACCCAGCUGAUGUCAGGCUACCUGCUGCUUACGUUACUUAUUUUUCUAUUUAGACAGGGUCUCCUGUAGUUCCCGCUAGCCUCAGCCUGACUCCACGUGUUUCCCUCCCAAGUGCUGGAGGUGGCAGAUGAGCGGCACAGUGCCUGGCUGUGUUGACUUUUGAAGAAGGCAGCUGUUUUCUCUGCGGGCAGGAAGGUGGCAGCAGGACGUGUAGGUGUGUUGCUAUGACACCGUGUGUUGCUGUUGUCACGUAACUUCUCUGAAGUCAUAGAUGGCGAGUUAGAUUCUGUGACACAAAGGGAAGCGUGUCUGACUAAUCAUUCCCACACUGCCUUCACUUCUGAGGGCUCCCUGGCCUGGGAGAGUUUGAGCAGAAGUGGUUCCCAGUGGGAAAGUGCGAACUUCAGGAUGGGCCGUGUGGAGACCUCUGGGGCUGAGACGUGACUAACACAUUUCCAUGCUGAAGGAUGUGGCGGACUGGCAAGGGACUAGAAUAAGAGAUGACGGCCAACCAGGAGCUGACACAUCCGGGGUGGAGAUGCUCCCCAGGAAGGAGGGACGCCUGUGGUGACAAAGUCUGUUUAAGAGGAACAGGGGCCUCGUGGGUCAGUUGCAUAACCUGGAGCUUCAAGCUCUGCCUCACUUGGCACUGAGCCUCGGUUUACAGACAAUCUUCAUCCACGUGAUUUGAAUGGAAGCAGGAGGGAGCAUGUCCCUGGUGCCUGGGCUUCGGGUGCCCUCUUGUGGCGAAUUAUUGGUUUUGAGUUUUCAGUUUCUCCUUCCCUCUCUGGAAUCUUACUGUCUUCAAGGUCAUUGUUGUUAAAAUGGAAAGGCAAAGGACUUGGGGGUGUAACUCAGUGGAAAAGAAUGUGAGUCUCUGGGUUCAGUCUUUGUCUGCAGGGUGGUCAAAGUCUGAGGGUGACAUCCCUAACAUGGAGGAAAGGCCACCGAUGGGGGCAGAGCCCUUGGUCUAAAAGACACCUGUCUGUGCUGUCUGUAAUGCGCUCAGAAGAACUGACCAGGGCCCUACUCGAUCUUCCUUCCGGUCUCUUCUAGCCUAGACUCUAGGCCCGUGGUUCUUAGGGUGGGUUUUUGUUGGGGGAAGGCAGAGGUCAGGGGUCC
rnacentral:lncRNA from 1 species